AUUGUGUGUGCCUGUUUUCAGAAGGAAGUGGUAGAGAUGCAGUGGAACUGGCGGAACAGUGAAUGUGUUUCUUCUUGGUGACUCAAUAAGGUGUGGAGGGCAACGUUAUCCUAGACAGAAAUUCUCAUGGAAGCGGAGAGAGUCGUUGAAAAUCUUAACGCGCAGCUGAAAUCUUACAUCCCUCGCCCGCUCCGGAAUUCUCCUGACCAGCCUGUAAAUACAAACCUAGACACUGAGGCGAGAUGAAGGGAAACCGUGCAUGGCAGAACUAGGAUGCCAUGAAUUUAAGGCACUUGCAACAAUGCCAAACUACUAGAUGAUGAUCUAAACUAUGGGACAGAUGAACAACGGUACAGUUGACGUCUGCUGGCAGCCAUGUCUUAGGAAGCUGUCUUCAGCAAGGCAGAAGCAGGUGAGAAGUCACGUUGCCACUAAGAAUGACAAAGAACAGAGAAAUCUUUGAAAAGAACAAAAGUUUAGAUACAACAGUUUCCAUUCAGAUACUACAAUUUUCAUUUAUAGUACUAUCGUGAGGCACGUAGAGAUCAAGUGGUGAUUUGUCAUAGAAUUUUGAAGAUACCGGAAGAUGCGAACACUGAAGAUUAUAUGAAAAUUAUUAUUAGAAAUUGUUUCUGUACCAUUUCUUAGUGGUCAAAUAGCUCUAUAGGAAUACACUGUCCUUUUACACUAGGUGUGGCUAACCUGUAGCCCUCCAGAUGUUGCUGGACUCCACAACUUCCAUCAUCCCUGAUCAUUGUCCAUACUGGCUGGGGCUGAUAAUCCAACAGCAUUUGGAGGGCCACUGGCUAGGCACCCUGUGUUAAAUCAUUUUUGACAAAUGCUUAUGCUGCCCGUCUUAGAAAUGUGCAAAGAGACUGAUUUUGCAUGUGGUUUUUGUUGCAUAAUAAAUGUUUGCCAGAAAUGGAGAUAAUAGAAUUUGUUAUUCUGUACCAUAGUUAUCCAACCUUUCCUUUUCUGCUGGCUGUUUCAGACCCUUUAUUUGUUAGAAUUCUGACUGCAUCAGUGCAAAAUAAUAAUGAGCAGUGUCAACAGUAAGUUUUUAGACCCUUUGUGCCUGUGUGUGUUAUCAUAGUGUGAGGUUAUCAUAGUGUAUGCGAGCUCUGAACCUCUAGUGCUCCUAAUCAAAGUGACAAAGGCAGAAAUAUUCUCUAAUUUGCUGACCUAUUUUUAUCAGUAACUUCAAUUCAAUACCCAUACCUGCCAGUCAAGAGUUCAUACAUUAAGAUUCCCAGUGACCAGUAGUCUGCUGAAAUGUCAUGACCUUUGUUCAGGAUGAUCUCUGGGGCUACGUACUCUGGAGUUCCACAAAAAGUCCAUGUUUUCUUUCCAAAUCCUAUUUUUUUUGCAAAGCCAAAAUCAACCUGUGAAAGAAGGUUCACAAACCCAUCAGGAAAGAAAAAAUAAAGAACAAUUAUACAGGCACAAAGGCUUGAGGAAAUGAUAAUGUUUUGCUUAGAAUAAACCAGUUUAGAAGGAAAGGUUUCAUGGGAAUUUUCUCAGAGUGAAAAUGUUGAUUGCCACAUAGGGCUGUCAGAGAAAGCUAUGUAGGAAAAUCUUUUCAGGUGUAAGAUUUGUAAAAACAAAACAAAAUAAAAAGACUAUUCUCAUCAGGGAAGAUGAGUACAUAACAAUAGUUUAAUAGGUGGUCAACUAUUUAUCUAUUGUAAUUGGUUAUUUUAAGUAGGAGCUAAACUAUAUAAAUAAUG